rnacentral:rRNA from 1 species
UUGAGGUAAGCGGAAUGUGUAGUGUAGCGGUGAAAUGCUUAGAUAUUACACAGAACACCGAUUGCGAAGGCAGCUUACUAAACUGUUACUGACGCUGAUGCACGAAAGCGUGGGGAGCGAACAGGAUUAGAUACCCUGGUAGUCCACGCCGUAAACGAUGCUCACUCGCUGUAUGCGAUACACAGUAUGCGGCCAAGCGAAAGCAUUAAGUGAGCCACCUGGGGAGUACGAUCGCAAGGUUGAAACUCAAAGGAAUUGACGGGGGCCCGCACAAGCGGAGGAACAUGUGGUUUAAUUCGAUGAUACGCGAGGAACCUUACCUGGGCUUAAAUGGGGAGUGACAGCUGUCGAAAGAUGGUUUUCUUCGGACACUCUUCAAGGUGCUGCAUGGUUGUCGUCAGCUCGUGCCGUGAGGUGUCGGGUUAAGUCCCAUAACGAGCGCAACCCUUAUCGUUAGUUGCCAGCGGGUUAAGCCGGGGACUCUAGCGAGACUGCCACCGUAAGGUGUGAGGAAGGUGGGGAUGACGUCAAAUCAGCACGGCCCUUAUGUCCAGGGCUACACACGUGUUACAAUGGCCGAUACAAAGGGCAGCUACCAGGUGACUGGAUGCUAAUCUCUAAAGUCGGUCUCAGUUCGGAUCGAAGUCUGCAACCCGACUUCGUGAAGCUGGAUUCGCUAGUAAUCGCAUAUCAGCCAUGAUGCAGUGAAUACGUUCCCGGGCCUUGUACACACCGCCCGUCAAACAAUGGAAGCUGGGGGUACCUGAAGUCUGUAACCGCAAGGAGCGGCCUAGGGUAAAACUAGUAACUGGUGUUAAGUCGUAACAAGGUA